rnacentral:rRNA from 1 species
AUUGAACGCUGGCGGCAUGCCUUACACAUGCAAGUCGAACGGCAGCACGGGUGCUUGCACCUGGUGGCGAGUGGCGAACGGGUGAGUAAUACAUCGGAACAUGUCCUGUAGUGGGGGAUAGCCCGGCGAAAGCCGGAUUAAUACCGCAUACGAUCUACGGAUGAAUGCGGGGGACCUUCGGGCCUCGCGCUAUAGGGUUGGCCGAUGGCUGAUUAGCUAGUUGGUGGGGUAAAGGCCUACCAAGGCGACGAUCAGUAGCUGGUCUGAGAGGAAGACCAGCCACACUGGGACUGAGACACGGCCCAGACUCCGACGGGAGGCAGCAGUGGGGAAUUUUGGACAAUGGGCGAAAGCCUGAUCCAGCAAUGCCGCGUGUGUGAAGAAGGCCUUCGGGUUGUAAAGCACUUUUGUCCGGAAAGAAAUCCUUGGCCCUAAUACGGUCGGGGGAUGACGGUACCGGAAGAAUAAGCACGGGCUAACUACGUG